rnacentral:misc_RNA from 1 species
GUUUAGCAGUUCAGAGAUUAAAAUCCGGGAAUUGCUGAGAGUUUGUAACGCUCGUAUUCAUAGGCUUCAGAAUUUUUAACAACUCUCAGGCGCGUGACGCAACUUGAUUAUACCGCUUUUUGCUUUUUAUCUCAUAAGCAACUGUUGCACACAAUCCACAAUCAUACGCAAGGAUGUUUUCUGAAAAUAAUCUUGGCAAAGAUUAUUCCAGCAUAUCUAAACACGAACUAGAAUUGCAUGUUUGUAACAACGAGAGAGAUAUUGACGAAAGUUUGCGAAACAUGGUCAAAGAAUUUAUUCAUCCCUACAAUAUAUAUAUGACGUUUAAUCCAGUUGUGAACAUAAGUAGAAUUGAAAAGUUCCAAGAUUUAUGUAACAAAGAUAUAAUGAUGUGGAAACCUAUAUAAAUUUCAGAAAAUACAGUCUGCCGAUUUUUAUCAUUCUGGGUCUUUUAGGAAAUUGUUUGUCUGCCAGUGUGCUCUUCCGUAAAAAGAUGCGUUCUUUCUCGUCCAACAUCUAUUUGGGCGUGCUAGCAAUAUGCGACAUCGCUUAUUCAAUAAUAUUAUUCAUUGAAUGGCUCGUUUUAAUGAAUAUCCAUCUAGAUAAAAAUUAUUUGUUUUGGUUGUAUUUUUUGGUGGACAUUUUGACUUUCUUUUUCGAGUUCAUGAGUGUGUGGCUUGUAGUAGUCUUUACCAUCGAGCGAUAUAUAGUGACGAAGUAUCCGCUUUUACGUCGAGCUUGGUGCACUGUCAAACGAGCAAAAAUCAUAGUAAUCACACUGAUUGGAUUAGCAAUUUUAUAUACCAUUCUACAUGUUUUUUUAUUUAUUGGGCUCAAGUAUUAUCUAGAUGAAGUAUCAUAUUUUGAAAAAAAAGGAAUAAAUGUCUACGAUUUAUACAAAUAUAUAAAAUUCGAAAAACAAACAGGAGUUAGAAAGAUAAGGACCGUUAUAGAUUCUAUUACGCUAUUUACUUUACCUGCUCUCGUGAUAGUAAUCUGCAAUACUCUGAUAGGAUAUCACAUUUACCAGCAAAAUCGUGUUCGCAAAAUGUUGAUUACAGCGUCCGAUUCUUCUAAUGAGAGAACUCAGAUUUUUAGUGAUAAAAAGCUGCAGUAUAAAAUCACAAGAAUGCUAAUUCUCGUUUCAAGCAUAUUUGUAAUCUUGAAAUUACCUGAACAUUACUUUCAUUACAUUAGUAGUUACAUACCUAAAUAUGUCAAUUUGCUUGUUAUGUACAUAAUAUUCAAGUUAUUAGACACAGCACAUUACAGUAUAAAUUUUGUUCUCUACUGCGCAACGGGACAAACUUUUCGCAGAGAACUAAUCCACAUGUUUACAAAACGUAAAAAUGUAAGCAAAAACAAAAAUGAAGAAAAUGUAUAAUUAUAAGUAACAGUAUGUUUGAUGUUCAAUUAUGCAGUCAUAAUAAGGUAAUAUAACCAUAAUUAAACACAGCGUUCUAUACUGAAAAUAUAAUCGAUAAAUUUACAAAAUUAGAUGUAAAAAUGACAUGAUAAAUAACAGAAAUUUACUAAAUAUAUAUUGCAAAUUUACAUAAUUUUAUACAUUUUAUACUAGUAUAUUUCCAUUUAGCGGCGCACUCAGGAUAUUUUUUUCAGGGGGGUGGGGGGUUUAAAAUUUACACACAAAAUUAAACAGUAUGACCAAAAAUCAGGAUAAUUUUGUAUUGCACACUAAAAAAUAUAAAAAUGUUACAUU